rnacentral:rRNA from 1 species
UUUAAAGAGAGUUUGAUCCUGGCUCAGGACGAACGCUGGCGGCGUGCCUAAUACAUGCAAGUCGAACGAACGGAGGAAGAGCUUGCUCUUCCAAAGUUAGUGGCGGACGGGUGAGUAACACGUGGGCAACCUGCCUGUAAGUUGGGGAUAACUCCGGGAAACCGGGGCUAAUACCGAAUGAUAAAGUGUGGCGCAUGCCACGCUUUUGAAAGAUGGUUUCGGCUAUCGCUUACAGAUGGGCCCGCGGUGCAUUAGCUAGUUGGUAGGGUAAUGGCCUACCAAGGCAACGAUGCAUAGCCGACCUGAGAGGGUGAUCGGCCACACUGGGACUGAGACACGGCCCAGACUCCUACGGGAGGCAGCAGUAGGGAAUCUUCCGCAAUGGACGAAAGUCUGACGGAGCAACGCCGCGUGUAUGAAGAAGGUUUUCGGAUCGUAAAGUACUGUUGUUAGAGAAGAACAAGGAUAAGAGUAACUGCUUGUCCCUUGACGGUAUCUAACCAGAAAGCCACGGCUAACUACGUGCCAGCAGCCGCGGUAAUACGUAGGUGGCAAGCGUUGUCCGGAUUUAUUGGGCGUAAAGCGCGCGCAGGCGGUCUUUUAAGUCUGAUGUGAAAGCCCCCGGCUUAACCGGGGAGGGUCAUUGGAAACUGGAAGACUGGAGUGCAGAAGAGG